ensembl:lncRNA
CGCAUAUUGUCUCCGGUUCGCCAGCAAAGCCCAGUGCGGCCUGUUCCAGCUCCCCGCACUUGCCGGGCUGAGGGGGGUAUCCAGCCAGGACUGUGUGACUAUGCAGACACCUGUCCAUCUCACCCACCAGAGUUCCUGUAUGUGCCUCUGAAACCAGAGCGGUUUCAAGGCACACAGAGAGUGCUGAUGCUGCUGUACUGUAUGUGGAACAAGAAGAAGAGGGCCUUUCAUCCUGAAAUAAAUGGAAAGACACCACAGAACAUCACUGCUGCUGUUGUAUUGCUCCAAUGACAACCCUACAGACAACCGUACAGCCCAAAGAC